rnacentral:lncRNA from 1 species
CCCCAGGACAGAUCUACACUUACCCCGCCCGCUGUUGGAGGAAGAAACGGAGACUCAACAUCCUGGAGGACCCCAGGCUCCGGCCCUGCGAGUACAAGAUCGAUUGUGAGGCACCUCUGAAGAAGGAGGGUGGCCUCCCGGAAGGGCCAGUCCUUGAGGCUCUGCUGUGCGCUGAGACUGGAGAGAAGAAAGUGGAGUUGAAGGAGGAGGAGACCAUUAUGGACUGUCAGGCGUAUGGCAUUGGAGGUCUCCGGAAACGCCAGGACAACGCAUCCUUGGAGGACCGAGACAAGCCGUACGUCUGUGAUAUCUGUGGGAAGAGGUAUAAGAACCGGCCAGGGCUUAGCUACCACUACACCCACACCCACCUGGCUGAGGAGGAGGGGGAGGAGCACACUGAGCGCCACGCCCUGCCUUUCCACCGGAAAAACAACCAUAAACCCAAGAAAGCACCAGAUGGCACUGUCAUCCCCAAUGGCUACUGUGACUUUUGCCUGGGGGGCUCCAAGAAGACUGGAUGUCCUGAGGACCUCAUCUCCUGUGCGGACUGCGGGCGAUCAG